GCUAUCGAGGUUCGACUAAGCCAUGCGAGUCGUAUGUAGCAAUACAUGGCGAACUGCUCAGUAACACGUGGACAACCUGCCCUUAGGACGGGGAUAAACCCGGGAAACUGGGUAUAAUACCCGAUAGGUCUCGAUUGCUGGAAUGCAUCGAGAUUUAAAGCUCCGGCGCCUAAGGAUGGGUCUGCGGCCUAUCAGGUAGUAGUGGGUGUAGCGUACCUACUAGCCUACGACGGGUACGGGUUGUGAGAGCAAGAGCCCGGAGAUGGAUUCUGAGACACGAAUCCAGGCCCUACGGGGUGCAGCAGGCGCGAAAACUUUACAAUGCUGGCAACAGCGAUAAGGGAACCUCGAGUGCCAGGUUACAAAUCUGGCUGUCGAGAUGCCUAAAAAGCAUUUCAUAGCAAGGGCCGGGCAAGACCGGUGCCAGCCGCCGCGGUAACACCGGCGGCUCGAGUGGUAACCGUUAUUAUUGGGUCUAAAGGGUCUGUAGCCGGCCGGAUAAGUCUCUUGAGAAAUCUGGCAGCUUAACUGUCAGGCUUUCAGGAGAUACUGUCUGGCUCGAGGCCGGGAGAGGUGAGAGGUACUUCAGGGGUAGGGGUGAAAUCUUGUAAUCCUUGAAGGACCACCAGUGGCGAAGGCGUCUCACCAGAACGGACCUGACGGCAAGGGACGAAAGCUAGGGGCACGAACCGGAUU
rnacentral:rRNA from 1 species